rnacentral:misc_RNA from 1 species
AUCUGCUCGACAUCUUCCGUCUCUUCAAUCGCCCUUUGCACUUCAAAGCCCUUUCCGUUUUGUAUCAAGCAUGUCUGCCAACAAUAACUCUGCGGCGGCUCCGAGGAAGGCGCGCCAGGAUAUGCCGAAGCUCGGCUUCUGGGAGGAGUUCAUGAUCAGCGGUGUUGCCGCUGGCGCUGCCAAGACGGCUGCGGCGCCGAUCGAACGUGUGAAGCUGCUGGUGCAGAACCAGGGUGAGAUGAUCAAGCAGGGCACGCUCGACCGCCCGUACAGCGGCGUGAUGAACUGCCUGACGCGCACGGUGAAGACGGAGGGCUUGUACGCGCUGUGGCGCGGCAACCUGUCGAACGUGAUCCGCUACUUCCCGACGCAGGCGCUGAACUUCGCCUUCAAGGACCAGUUCAAGCGUAUGUUCAACUACAAGAAGGACCGUGACGGCUACAUGAAGUGGUUCAUGGGCAACAUGGCGUCCGGCGGUCUCGCCGGCGCUGUGUCGCUGUGCUUCGUGUACUCGCUGGACUACGUGCGUACCCGCCUCGCGAACGACACGAAGUCUGCGAAGAAGGGAGGCGAGCGCCAGUACAGCGGCAUGGUGGACUGCUACAUCAAGACGUUCAAGACCGACGGCCUGGUAGGUCUGUACCGCGGCUUCUGCGUGUCAUGCGUGGGCAUUGUCGCGUACCGCGGCUUCUACUUUGGCCUGUACGACACGCUGCAGCCGAUGCUGCCGGUGAACAACUUCAUUGUGAACUUCAUGCUGGGCUGGAUUGUGACUAUCGUGUCUGGCCUGAUCUCAUACCCGCUGGACACCGUGCGCCGUCGCAUGAUGAUGACGUCCGGCACCGGCAAGAACUACCGCAACUCGUUCGAGUGCUUUAUGCAGUGCGUGAAGAACGAGGGCGCGGCUUCGCUGUUCCGCGGUGCUGGCGCGAACAUUCUGCGUGGUGUCGCUGGUGCGCUGGUGCUGUCCGGCGUUGAUGCUAUCAAGCCGUACUACAUCAGUGCUCGCGCCGCGAAGAAUUAAGGAGUGAGAGCAGUGAGACGUGCGUUAAUCUCCCCCCUCUCUCUAUCCUUAUAGUAUGGAGAAUGAGGUGAGGGGCUAGGGCGACUGACGACGCUUUUCUUCUGGUGUUCACUUUUGUUGUGCUUAUCUCGGGUUGUAAUCCGGACUAACCUGAUGUGUGCUCCCUGUGCUUUCUUCUCUAGUGUUUUGUGCCUCUUCUUGUGCCGUUGUCUGUGUGCUUCUUUUCGUCAGGCAUUCUCGGGUGUGAGAUAUGUAUGAACUUGGCGGGCCAAGGCGCGGCACUGCCAUCCCCAUUGCACUGCUGCUGCUUGGCCUCUUUCCACGUGCGUGUGCGUGUGUGAGGGAAAUCGAGGGUAUGUGAAACAUCCAGACGAAAAGGAUGUGCCAAAGAAAGACAAGGAACGCAACACACACACACACAAAAGGCGGGCAGAAGGCCGGUGGUGGGCGUGGUGUUGCCCACUAGAGCUGGGAAGAAUAUGAAAGUGAUAGCGUGCAUCUUGUCGAUGUGAUCAUCGAGUCAUGGGCUAGUUUUAGGUAGGAGAGAAACCAUAAUUUCUAAAAAAGUGAAGAACGUGCGUAGUCAAGUACGAAGACCACACACGUAUAUCGGCGGAACUAGGAAAUAGAUCAUACGCAUCCACCUACGCGUGUAUGUCGGUGUCUCUGUGUGCGAUCUUUGGCAGCGCGUGUUGUUUCUUGCGCUCUUACUUUUCUAAAAUGUCGCUGUCUCUGUUUUUUUUUUUUUGGGGUGGGGGCUUUGUGGUCGCCUCUGGUGCAUCUCUCUCACGGUGCGCAAGCUCACAAAGGCGCUCGCCUGAUGGGGUGCAUUUCCGAUACAGAGGAUGGAAAACCAAUGAAGGAAAAGGGAGAACGGCUGUGGGGGUUGUUUCUCUUACUGUUUUUUUAUUAAUGAUGGGCUUUUGGCCCGUUUAAGGAAUAGCGACGAAAGGAAGAUAUGGAAGGCACUUCGACACAGGCACACAGGGACACACAGACACACGUGUCGUUAUGCGUUGCUGUUGGUGGGACGCAUCCACGCAUAUGUGUUUCCCAUAAACACGUGCCACUGUAUCUUCUACAGUGUUCAUAGGUGUGGUGUGGAUCCGGGAAGACGCGAGCAACGCGCAGUCGCUCGGUCUCUUAUGGGGGAGGUGUGUCCAUGUCGUCAGCUGAGUCCGCAUGGCGUGCCUAUGCCCGCUGAACUGGUGAAAAGCGCUCUGCCCUCCAGUUGCAGUACCCCCUUCUUUCAACCCUGAGUUUUACCAUCGCCGCCUCUCGUCAUUGGCUGGAACGCACGGAAAAUGGAGUAGGCCAUGAGCUAUUCUCAUCCCCUCCCCCUCUUCGAUUGCGAAAUGUGCGCAUGACAUGCUGUGCCGAACACUUCCAAGGCUUCCUCGUCUUGCCCACACGCUUCUCUUCGUGCUUCUUUGUCAUGUCGAAAUUGUGUGCAUCAAAG